CAGUCGAACGGAAAGGCCCUUCGGGGUACUCGAGUGGCGAACGGGUGAGUAACACGUGGGUGAUCUGCCCUGCACUUUGGGAUAAGCCUGGGAAACUGGGUCUAAUACCGAAUAUGACUGCGCACUUCCUGGUGUGUGGUGGAAAGCUUUUGCGGUGUGGGAUGGGCCCGCGGCCUAUCAGCUUGUUGGUGGGGUAAUGGCCUACCAAGGCGACGACGGGUAGCCGGCCUGAGAGGGUGACCGGCCACACUGGGACUGAGAUACGGCCCAGACUCCUACGGGAGGCAGCAGUGGGGAAUAUUGCACAAUGGGCGCAAGCCUGAUGCAGCGACGCCGCGUGAGGGAUGACGGCCUUCGGGUUGUAAACCUCUUUCAAUAGGGACGAAGCGCAAGUGACGGUACCUAUAGAAGAAGGACCGGCCAACUACGUGCCAGCAGCCGCGGUAAUACGUAGGGUCCGAGCGUUGUCCGGAAUUACUGGGCGUAAAGAGCUCGUAGGUGGUUUGUCGCGUUGUUCGUGAAAACUCACAACUCAAUUGUGGGCGUGCGGGCGAUACGGGCAGACUAGAGUACUGCAGGGGAGACUGGAAUUCCUGGUGUAGCGGUGGAAUGCGCAGAUAUCAGGAGGAACACCGGUGGCGAAGGCGGGUCUCUGGGCAGUAACUGACGCUGAGGAGCGAAAGCGUGGGGAGCGAACAGGAUUAGAUACCCUGGUAGUCCACGCCGUAAACGGUGGGUACUAGGUGUGGGUUCCUUCCUUGGGAUCCGUGCCGUAGCUAACGCAUUAAGUACCCCGCCUGGGGAGUACGGCCGCA
rnacentral:rRNA from 1 species